UAACAAGUGGGUUUGUUGACUG
rnacentral:miRNA from 1 species